rnacentral:rRNA from 1 species
GAUGAACGCUGGCGGCGUGCCUAAUACAUGCAAGUCGAGCGAACAGACGAGGAGCUUGUUCCGUUGACGUUAGCGGCGGACGUGUGAGUAACACGUAUAUAACCUACCUAUAAUACUGGUAUAACUUCGGAAAACCGGAGCUAAUACCGGAUAAUAUUCUGAUCCGCAUUGUUCGAUAGUGAAAUAUGGCUUUUCUAUCACUUCUAGAUGGACCUGCGCCGUAUUAGCUAGUUGGUAAGUUAACGGCUUACCAAGGCAACGAUACGUAGACGAAGUGAGAGAGUGGUAGCCCGCCUGGGAGGUUGGCCACGGUCAAGGGUACUAAGGGAGGGACCAGACGGGAAUGGUCGGCAAUGGGGGGAAGCAUGACAGAACAACGGGGAGUGAGUGAUGAAAGUGUUGGGAUCGUAAAAAUCUGUUACGGGGGGAAAACCAACGUGUACGUAAAUGUGCACGGAUUGACGGUAACUAAUAAGAAAGCCACGGCUAACUACGUG